rnacentral:rRNA from 1 species
UUUCCCUCAGGAUAGCUGGCACUCGCUUUUGAGCGAGUCUCAUCUGGUAAAGCGAAUGAUUAGAGGCCUUGGGGCCGAAACGACCUCAACCUAUUCUCAAACUUUAAAUGGGUGAGAUCUCUGGCUUGCUUAAAUUGUGAAGCCAUGAGAUGAGGGGCUCGCUCCCUCGCGGGGUGGGUCCCAUCGGAUCAGAGUGCCAAGUGGGCCAAUUUUGGUAAGCAGAACUGGCGCUGUGGGA